rnacentral:rRNA from 1 species
CAACUCGCCUGCAUGAAGUCGGAAUUGCUAGUAAUCGCAGAUCAGCAUGCUGUGGUGAAUACGUUCCCGGGCCUUGUACACACCGCCCGUCACACCAUGGGAGUUUGUAACGCCCAAAGUCGGUGGCCUAACCUUUAUGGAGGGAGCCGCCUAAGGCGGGACAGAUGACUGGGGUGAAGUCGUAACAAGGUAAC